rnacentral:tRNA from 4 species
GGGCCGAUAGCUCAGUUGGUAGAGCAGUAGACUUUUAAUCUAUUGGUCCCGCGUUCGAGUCGCGGUCGGCCCACCA